UGUCUUGCAAAUUAAAUAAAUGUAAUAAAUUAUUAUUCUGUUAAAAAAGACGCCAAUCUAGGCUCGAUUGGACCAAAUGUCGUCGUCAGACUUUUGAUUUAGUGGACUGUAUUAGGUUUUUGAGAUAGAUUGAGAUUUAAUAUGGUUCUUCGUUUUUUCAAGGAAUGUUCGAACGCACAUUAGUGAUGCAUAAUGGCUUACCUUGCUUCGUUGAAGUCGGGCUUGGUAGCGCUACCAGUUCAUCGUUCCUUCCAUAUCAGGCACUCACACUUUAGGUAAAGUUUAAUUUAAGUCUUUAUUAUAAGUUUAAUCUAAUUCGUUAAAUAAUUACUGCAGGAAAAUCACCGGCGGUCAAUAUGUAUAAGGCUGUUAGCGGUUAGCUGUUUUACAAAACCUACUUGCAAGUGUGUGUAGGUACUACUGCGUACUUCCUUCCAAUUUUUGGCAAUGCAUUGCAAUGCAAUGCAAUUUUUGGCCUGCAUUGCGCAAGGGAAAGUGUAGCCGCUCGUUGGAAGAAUAAAAAGGACACGUAUCGCCGUUGAAAAAAAUUCCAAAAUCUCGUUCUGGAGAUGGAGCCAGCAACUUUUCAUCUUCUUGGCCAUAUUUUCAUAUGAUGUCGUUUUUAAAGGAUAGUAUAACUCCGGUCACCAAAUAUGGGAACUAAUCUUCUUCCCAACAUAAAGAUAAGGAUAAUUCUGAAGUUGACGAGGACUCAGAAACCCAAUCCAAUUUUGAUCCAAGAUCUCCGGAUCCGAUAUCAGAAUCAUCAGCGUCGCAACCUGUGACCAGACCAUCAUCUUCAGCUUCUUUUAGAACGACCAAGACGAACAGAAAAAGACUGCUUGACACCAAAGAAGACCGUUUUUUUGAACUUGAAAACAAGAAGCUGCAGCUCUUAUCCCAACCCUUGGUUCAAGAUCCACCUGUAGCAGCUCCAGAAUACGAAAUGUCGGGCACUGAAACCUGGAGACCUGAACCACUACAAACCCAUUCUGCCAACAAUCCAACACCACUGCAGCCACUAUAUCCUAAUAAUAGCAUUAUUCAAGAGAGUACCACAUCAGCAUUUCCACCGGAAU